GAAAGCAGAGGCCGGAAGUGUGUGUUUUGCGGUUGCGUGGUGUUGACGGGGCUGCGGACUGACGGGACGCCCCUCGGCUCGGAGCUCCGGACGGUCCUGCCAGCUGAAGCCGCAGCAGGUCUUCUGUCAGCGGGGAGCCGCAGAGAGGCUGACCCGGUCCAGAGUGAACCCUCGGCCCGGCUCCCGGCCCGGCACGGCUCGGCUCGGCUCGACCCGGCUCGGCUCGGCUCGGCUCGGCUCUCUGACAGCAUGACGGCAGCAGCAGGAGGCUUCAGCGGCGUCUCUCUGCUCUCAGCUCCGUAGUUUGUCACUCGGUUCCCGGUCGGAUCCGGAUCAGCAUGUCGGCGGAGGGAAACACGAUCCGGAGCCGGAUCAAAAACCUGCUGCGCUCCCCGUCCAUCAAGCUGAGGAGGAGCAAACCUGGCAACCACAAAGAAAACCUCGCGCACAAGGUGACCUUGGAGAAGGUUCUGGGCAUCACAGCUCCAGGGAACCGAGCACUGGCCUGCGACCCCCGGACAGGACAGGUGGCCUAUCCCGCUGGGUGAGACGCACACACACAC